AUAUAUCUCUCAUUACUCUCCCAUUACUCUCACAGCCAACUCCCACUCCUACUCCCAAAUAAAAAAAAAAAUCACUCUCCUCUCCUCUCUUCUUCAUCUAAUCACUCUCCUCUCCUCCCCUCUCUUCUUCAUCUCUCUCCCUUUUUCCUCUCCGGCGACGCCUUUUCUACCGGCAAAUUUCUUCUCCGGCGAACCUCCAAGGUUUCUAAAAUCACUUCAGUACAAUUACUUUUCUAUCAGACUCAGCCAAACGCUCUACAGCUUUUAACAAAAAUCACUUUUCUAAACCAAAAUUACUUUUUUAGAAAUCACUUUUUCAAUAGUUAGGCUAAACAGGCCCUAAGAUUGGCACGGGCGUGCGGGGUGCAUGAAAUGAACUUACACGUACACCGCGCGCGGUGGCAAUAAUUUCUCCGCACCACAAAUGAACAGAGACAUGUGCAGCAUGUGACGCUGUGGAAACUUCGGCUUGCAGUUAUCCGAUCACAUCGUCGUCGUCACGCCGAGACGAUAAGUUUCCGCGUGCUCGCCUUAAGCUAAGCCCGAAAACGUGCUGGCGUACGUUACAUGACUCGCGCGCACCCCUAUCCACUACGGAAGAAAUUCAAGGCACCCACGUGGUAGAAAAAAGAAUAUCUCGACGUAACCUUCCACCUCUAGCUAGCUCUGUCGGCAAAGAUAUCACGUCUUCACCGCUACAGCUUCACGCAGAUAAGAAUGGAUGAUAUAAAGUUCAUCGUCUUCAUCGACAAAUUAAUAUGCAUGUGUGUUAUCCAAGAGAAAUAGCAGAACAUUUGUACGUACGAGGAGAAAGACAUUCGCUUGCAUAAAAAAUUUCUGCUUAUAGAACAAUUUGAUUAUUAUCUAUUUAUAUCAGGAUACUUUUGAAAUUCUCAACAAUUAGAACUCGCCGUAGCUCCCAAAUUAA